rnacentral:rRNA from 1 species
UACGUAGGGGGCAAGCGUUGUCCGGAAUUAUUGGGCGUAAAGAGCGCGUAGGCGGUCCGAUAAGUCGGCUGUGAAAGUCAAGGGCUCAACCCUUGAAAGCCGGCCGAUACUGUCGGACUAGAGUCCGGAAGAGGCGAGUGGAAUUCCCGGUGUAGCGGUGAAAUGCGCAGAUAUCGGGAGGAACACCAAUGGCGAAGGCGGUUCUCUGGGCCUUACCUGACGCUGAGGAGCGAAAGCGUGGGGAGCGAACAGG